rnacentral:rRNA from 1 species
ACUCCGGGGAUAACAGGCUGAUACCGCCCAAGAGUUCAUAUCGACGGCGGUGUUUGGCACCUCGAUGUCGGCUCAUCACAUCCUGGGGCUGAAGUAGGUCCCAAGGGUAUGGCUGUUCGCCAUUUAAAGUGGUACGCGAGCUGGGUUUAGAACGUCGUGAGACAGUUCGGUCCCUAUCUGCCGUGGGCGCUGGAGAACUGAGGGGGGCUGCUCCUAGUACGAGAGGACCGGAGUGGACGCAUCACUGGUGUUCGGGUUGUCAUGCCAAUGGCACUGCCCGGUAGCUAAAUGCGGAAGAGAUAAGUGCUGAAAGCAUCUAAGCACGAAACUUGCCCCGAGAUGAGUUCUCCCUGACUCCUUGAGAGUCCUGAAGGAACGUUGAAGACGACGACGUUGAUAGGCCGGGUGUGUAAGCGCAGCGAUGCGUUGAGCUAACCGGUACUAAUGAACCGUGAGGCUUAACCUU